UGGCCCCAAGGGCAUCUGGACACAGCCAUUCCUGGUGGGUUUGCUGCCGCCUCAACACCCAGACCUUCUCCAGGCAGCCCUGUGAAGACCUAGGAGAGGCAGCAGCCAUGAAGAUCCUGUUCCUGCUCUUGCCCCUGAUCCUCCUGUUGGUCCAGGGUGCUGCAGGCAGUGAAACUAGCUGCUGGAGA